CUCCCUCCCCCGCCCCCUCCCCUCCCCGGCUCCCCAUCGCCUCUCUCUCCCAGUCUCCUUCCCCUCCUCAGAUCCACAUCGCCGGCCUCCCCGCGUUGCCUCCUCCCUCCCUUCCAUCUUGUUGCGGCCGCACUCGACGGAGGGGGCGCGGCCGCAAGGCCGGGUCGCGGGCGUGAAGCCUCAGCAAGGAGGCAUCGCAGUGCCAGUGGCCGCACGCUCCCAGUGGCCGCGCGCUUGUGUAUGCGGGAUGCCGGCGGCCGCGCGCUGCGCGUCCAUGCGGGGUGACGACAGUGGCCCGCUGCUCGCAUGGUUGCGCGGCUGCGCGCUGCUCGUCCGUGCAGGGCUUGGCACACCUGUGCUGCAGCUCGUCCAGUCAUCCUCACCCUCAAAAUAGUUGUGUUAUGCUCCAGUAGAUCUCUAGAUUAAAUCGUGUUAUUGAUUCCUUCAAGAAACUCUAUACGUCAUUGUGCUGGCCAAUUGCUAUCUCGUACAAUUAAAAUCGCUCGUCGAGCAUGUUACUUAUCACUGCAGAUCAUCAUGUGUUUGAUAAAAUUCCCCUAUCAGAUACUAUUAGUAAUGAUGUCCUCCAGUUAGUUGAUUGAUUAGAUGAGAUAUUGAUAAGUUUGUACAAAUGAUGCCCUCCUAUUUUUAGGCCUACUUUCUUUUGAUGGUGUUGCUGUUCGGCAGCACCAAUAUCUACUUCUUUCUGUUCAUGGUGAUGUAUAGAAUCCUGACUUGCUGGCUUGCUGUAGUGUUUGAGUGUCGCAUGAUAUAGUACCACUGACAUGAUGGAAUUAAGACAAAAACUUAUCAAGAUUCUGUUCUUUACGUAUUAUAGGGCUGGCGAUCUCGUGUUCUACUUCACACAGCUAUUUUCUUCCUCUUUUAUUGCUUUUGACUUAUUAGAUGGUGAGCUCGUAUUACAUCUUCAAAUAAAUUUUUUGCUGUCGUCGUUUCUGGGGUGUAGGCAGAAGGCUAGGCAUUCAUGUUCCUUGCACUUUUCACAUAUCUGAUAGUUUGUAGUAUUUCUCUCUCCUAUUGGAUUUUAUUUUACUGAAUUUUGUGUACUGCAACUCCCAGAAUACUGUUUAGCUGAACAGCUUAAUAAUUGAUGUCAUAUAUAUGCUCUCUUAAGGAUAUGUAUGUGAACCUUUUAGGUACUGGUUCAUCACAUGACAGUUCAUUUUCCGGAAUGAUAUAAAAGGAGCUGUUCACAAUGGAGCAGCAGUUCACAUGAUAACACAAUGCAGUAGAGUUGGUGGAAAGAGUGUCAUGUUACUGGUUCAUCACAUGUAGGCUCUUUCAGGUAUAUCUAUGGACUGGUGGCUGUAACAUAGUUGAUGCUAACCUUUUGGGUACAUGAGUACAGGAUUUGUAUGAUUUAAUGGUUGUAGCAUCUAUGGACUUGUAUGCUCCAGUAGCUAAUGCCAAACUCCUUCAUGCAUGAAUGUAAAUUAUAUUAAUAUCUGGAUCAUAUAUGUUCAUGGAUUAUGUGCUGGAGUGAUACAUGGAUACUAUAUAAGCAUGGAUGUGUGCUGGAAUGGGAUCUGAUGUUUUGU